rnacentral:rRNA from 1 species
UGGGGAAUUUUGGACAAUGGGCGAAAGCCUGAUCCAGCAAUGCCGCGUGUGUGAAGAAGGCCUUCGGGUUGUAAAGCACUUUUGUCCGGAAAGAAAGUCCUUGGCUCUAAUACAGUCGGGGGAUGACGGUACCGGAAGAAUAAGCACCGGCUAACUACGUGCCAGCAGCCGCGGUAAUACGUAGGGUGCAAGCGUUAAUCGGAAUUACUGGGCGUAAAGCGUGCGCAGGCGGUUUGCUAAGACCGAUGUGAAAUCCCCGGGCUCAACCUGGGAACUGCAUUGGUGACUGGCAGGCUAGAGUAUGGCAGAGGGGGGUAGAAUUCCACGUGUAGCAGUGAAAUGCGUAGAGAUGUGGAGGAAUACCGAUGGCGAAGG